UUCCCUUUCCUUUCUUUUGAGUGAAAAGUGCCGACGGCGAAUCUUCCAUAACGGUUAUCUCGUGCUGAAGCUCGUGUACCGAACUUUCGUCUGAUCCCUGCAAUUCCUCACUGGCUACGUACGCUUUUUCCUCAAUUCAUCAGCCCUUCGAUCUUCCAUUUCUCUCUCUCCAUCAUCAUCAUCAUCAUCAUCGUCAUCUUUUUCUUCUUCGUCUUCUUCUCCUUCUUCUUCUUUUUAAUCUAGAAUGCUACAUUUUAUUUUGCAAGUAUAACAACUUGGCUUCGCAGAGUAGCUCCAGAUGAAAAUUUCUGGUGAUGGCGCUCUAGAUGAAAAAUUCUGAGUCUUUGAUUCCGUUUCCAACCAUUUUUCUGCAACUCCGUCAUGUGUUUUCUCUAAGUAUCUGAAACAAUAGGUUUUUCAAAAAAGGGAGAUUCAAGCUUCAAAAGCAACAAACAGCCUCGAUUCUCUCUCUCGUCUUCUCUACAUCUCUCGGAGUUGAUGUUAGAGGUUCUGCUACUCAAAAUUUAUCCGGAGGAAAGCUCGGAAUUUUGCAAACUGAAGAUAAGUGAACAUUUUGAGGAAGGAGGAGAAACAUCAUGGUUGAAUUCAACUCUGAAACGGCAUAUGAGGGUGGUGGCAUUGCCUUGGGGUACAAAGAAUAUGUUCUGGGUCUAUAUAUGGCUUCAUGCUCAUCAUGAGGUAUAAUACAUCUUUUAGUGAGUCAUGGCUGUCAUUUAACGUUUAUGCAUUAUUAUUGUGCUCUUUUAUAAAUCAGUGCAAAAAUAAAUAAAUAAGUGAAAUAAUAUGGAGUUCUUGCCUCCUGAUUUGUUAACUUCCUCGAAGAUCUCCAUGCUUUUUGAGGUAUAACUUACUGAUUAAAUUCAGCAUUAUUGGCUAGUGCUGAUAA